rnacentral:rRNA from 1 species
UACGAAGGGUGCUAGCGUUGCUCGGAAUCACUGGGCGUAAAGCGCACGUAGGCGGAUCUUUAAGUCAGGGGUGAAAUCCUGGAGCUCAACUCCAGAACUGCCUUUGAUACUGGGGAUCUCGAGUCCGGGAGAGGUGAGUGGAACUGCGAGUGUAGAGGUGAAAUUCGUAGAUAUUCGCAAGAACACCAGUGGCGAAGGCGGCUCACUGGCCCGAUACUGACGCUGAGGCACGAAAGCGUGGGGAGCAAACAGG